rnacentral:rRNA from 1 species
UACGAAGGGGGCUAGCGUUGCUCGGAAUCACUGGGCGUAAAGCGCACGUAGGCGGCUUUCUAAGUCGGGGGUGAAAACUCCAGGCUCAACUUGGAGACGCCACCCGAUACUGCUCUGACUUGAGUUCGGUAGGGGAGUGGGGAAUUCCUGGUGUAGCGGUGAAAUGCGCAGAUAUCGGAAGGAACGCCGGUGGCGAAAGCGAUCGACUGGACCUCUUCUGACGCUGAGGCGCGAAAGCCAGGGGAGCAAAGCGGG